rnacentral:tRNA from 1 species
AAUGAUGAGCCUGACUAAAGGAGUAUCGUGAUAGGAUACAACAUGUAGGACUAACCCUACCCUCAUUA